rnacentral:tRNA from 1 species
GAUUUUACCCAAAAUGCCCCCAG